rnacentral:rRNA from 1 species
UACGAAGGGAGCUAGCGUUGUUCGGAAUUACUGGGCGUAAAGGGCGCGUAGGCGGUUUUAUAAGUUUGGUGUGAAAGCCCUGGGCUUAACCUAGGAACAGCAUUGAAUACUGUAAGACUUGAGACCGAGAGAGGGAAAUGGAAUUGCGAGUGUAGAGGUGAAAUUCGUAGAUAUUCGCAAGAACACCAGUGGCGAAGGCGAUUUCCUGGCUCGGUACUGACGCUAAGGCGCGAAAGCGUGGGGAGCAAACAGG